AAAAUCAGACACGCACCUUCUCUACAGUCCAGUUGUCCAGAAAAACAGAGUACACCUUAUUAAAUCUGGUUCUUUUCCUGGAUGCAAUACAAAAGCGAGCAAUAACGACAGGAAUUCAACUGAUAACAUUCUCACUGGCCAGAUCAGCAUACAGGGCGUAUACUGCGAAACAUCCACGACCAGUGGUGGAGAUAGCGAAGAAGACAAUAAUAGAAAGGCACUAAACUUUAGAUAUGGCGGCAAGACUCGAUAUGGAGAUUUGAAAGCAGGGAGUCCUG